ensembl:lncRNA
AUUUUUUAUACAUGUAUGAUUUUUUUUUGAUUUUUUUUUUUUUUUUUUUUUUUUUAAAGAUUAUUUUUUUUAAAUACACAAAUAGUGAAAGACAAAAUCACACCAAGCAUUGGAUAGAAGCAGAGCUCUGAACUUUACCUGAUGCAAGUGCCGCCAUUCUGUUCUAGUGUGUGUGUGAGUGAGAAUGAGUGAGUGAGUGAGUGAGUGUGUGUCUGCCCUGUCUGUCCAUCUCCUGGGUAACCACCAGUCCGGAGUUCAGCAUAGUGGACCUCCUGAAGGUCUGUGAACUUUAGCCCAGCUGUGAGGACACUCGCGCACAGCGUCGGAGAAGAAACCGCGUGAGAUGGCCAAUCAUGACUCGGCGAGGGCGGAGUCUGCAUCCUGCCAUCGGGAAGACGCACAGAUCCUACGGGCAUGUCGUUCACACUGUACAGUAUUUAACUUUCGACAGAACUGGCAAGCCCGACGGCUACGCUUCUGACGUCCUCCGUCCCCCGUCCUCUUCAUGUGACUGACAGUUGCCUUACUCUUUACUCCUCCAGUAAAACUAUCCCGUAAUCCUUUAUCCUGCCCAGGAGCCCCGCCUUCUUUCGCUGACCUAUUGAAUGAUGAUGUUAGGUCUCUGGACCUGCUGCGCCGAGGAAGACAUUGCUUUAUGUGAGAGACAUGGCGCAGGACUACAUAUUUUUAAGCAGUCCUGAGUUUGGGUCCGUCAAAGGAGUGAUCUAUCCGAGAGCGGAGUCUCCUGCCGUUAACCCGACCCGAUGUGUUAUACAUGUAACAGUUGAACCUUUUUAAAGUUGUAAAAUAACUAAAAAGCUGUAAUUAUAUUUCAGGCCGUUAUAAUGGAGACAGAUGAUAGUGUACGGAGGUAGAGGGGACGCAUACGAUUUUUAACUCUGGUCAUGUUAUGUAAUUCGUUAUUUUGUAACGUUACUCUUUUGUUGAUCUUGCGUGUUUCUUUUUCAUUUGUGGGAUUUACAUAAUUUGAAAAGAAACUGUAUUGCUUUAUCGUGUAAUGGUCUUUUUCGCUCGCUCUCUCUCUCUCUCUCUCUCUCUCUGUCUUUACCUUCCUUCUCUCUUUAUUUCUGUGGUUUCACAGCUUUUAAUGACAGGUUGAGUUUUAAUAACAAAUUGUAACAUUUUAAUUCUCCUUACGUUUGUUGAUUUCUGAUGUUUUUAAAUGUAAUCAGGGUUAAUUAAACUGGUUAAUACCACCUGAGGGAUCUCGACGUUGUGACUGUGUUCUUUCCUCAAAUGUCGGUCGGCGUUGGUAAAUUUCGGCCUCCGACUCUCUGCACAUCAUAAAGCAUAUUCAUUAAGCGCUCGGGUAUUAUGUUAUCUUCGGUGACGUCCGAAAUGUAUUUUGUGAUGGUCUUUCUUCGAUAUGUCGAUCUAUUUUCACUUUGGUUCAUGGAUUCCUAAAUUACCCACAAUGCCGUUUAACUGGCGUCGCUGGGAUUUAUGCUGCAUUUGAUCUACCUUGAAGUUGGGGAAAAGCGUGGACGCCUCAGUGUUUAUUUUCUGUUGCCAACAAGCUAGCCAGCUAGCUGUGAGGAGUGAUGUACACCGAUCAGCAUCAACAUGAACACUACGUGCCUGAUUUUGUGUAGGUCCCCCUUGUGCUGCCCAGAUAGCUCCGACCCGUCGACGCAUGGACUCCAUAAGACCUCUGAAGGUGUGCUGUGGUGUCUGGCACCAAGACGUCAGCAGCAGAUCCUUUAAGUCCUGUAAGAUGCGAGGUGGGGCUUCCAUGGAUCGGACUUGUUUGUCCCACAGACGCUCGAUCGGAUUGAGAUCUGGGGAAUUUGGAGGCCGAGUCAACACCUUCCUCAAACGUGUUCCUCAAAUCAUUCCUGAAUUUUUGCAGUGUGUCAGGGAGCGUUAUCGUGUUGAAAGAGGCCAGUGCUGUUAGGGAAUACUGUUGCCAUGAAGGGGUGUACUUGGUCUGGAGCAAUGUUUAGGAAGGAGUUAAGGUGUUAAAGUAACACUUACCCAAGGUUUCCCAGUAGAACACCGCCCAGAGCAUCACACUGCCUCCACCAGCUUGCCUUCUUCCCAUAGUGCAUCCUGGUGCAAACUCUUCCGUCCACGUGAUGCGAAAGAAAACCUCAUCCGUCAGACCAGGCCACCUUCUUCCAUUGCUCCAUGGUCCAGUUCUGAUGUUCACGUGCCCAUUGUAGGUGCUUUCGGACAGGGGUCAGCACGGGCACACUGACCGGUCUGCAGCUACGCGGCCCCGUACACAACAAGCAGACAUCUUUCCAUCAUAGUUAACUUUUUUCAGCAAUUUGUACUACACUAUCUCACAUCCUGAGUUCCCAAGUAGGAAUUCUGAGUCGAACGUCCGAGACGUUUUUUUUUUUCCCCUAGUCGGCGGUCAGAACUUACGAGUUAUGAUAUUGAGUCGAGCGCAACAUUGGCUCUUGCUUCAUCUCAGACAGAGAUGCAUCAGUGUUUUAGUCCUUCAGGCUGUCUAGCUCCCUCACCUCCUCAAACAGAGAAAGUUCUAAUUCUUAAGGUUUCAUGCUAGGUCUGCUGUUAGCACCAUCAUGCUAGUCAGAAUGCUAACGAGCCGAGUCGAGACUCGGCGGAACUGCGUCGUUUAUCUCCGUCGCACUCUGAAAGAAAGAGGACAGCCGUAUAGAAAACCUAUAGUUUCACCCUCUCUUUCUUCGCCUGUACGGGCGUGGCCGCGUCCACGUUCCUGAACUCGCUCUCUUCUAGAUUGUCGCCAGUGUUUAUUUAUUUCAGGAAUCUGUUUACGCUCCUCUUUCAGAAUCGGGGCCAUGACCCUGAAUAUCUUUACCUUCCACCUUUUUCUGUAAGAUCUUCUUUGAGUCCUGAUGUUUCUCCUUCCUUCAAGUUUGAAUUUACCACCUCCUCAGAUUGCCUGCCACCACUGCUGAUUUUUGCUCCUUAUAUAUUAUCACUACAUCUGGUUAUAAUUCUCAUCUUUUAAGUGGUGUAUAAAUAAAUGAUUUUGGUGGAGAGCUCUGUGUAUUGUGAAGAGUGUCUGGAUCUUGAUAUUGACUGCUUCCUUUUCACUUGUAUCUCAUUAUUCAUUAUUAUUUACUGCAAGAAGUAGUAACAAUACUGCAUAAAAGAUCUUACAGUAUAUAAAUGUUGCUAUUUGAAUGUGAUAUACGGUGUAACAUGAAUUAGCAAGAACACAAAAACUAAUUCACGGUGGUGCAGCGAGUAGCAUUGCUGCCUUACAGCUCCAGGGUCCCUGGUUUGAUCCCGAGCUUGGGUUACCGUCUAUGUGGAGUUUCACAUGUUCACCCCAGUUUCCUGUGGGUUUCCUGUGGGUUUCCUCCAGUUUCAUCCCGCUGUCCAAAAACAUGUAGGUAGGCAACCUGGCUACGCUAAAUUGCCCAUUGGUGUGUGAAUGUGUGUGUGCAUUGUGCCAUGUGAUGGACUGGCAUCCCAUCUGCGCUGAAGUCUCCCACCUUCACAGGAUAGGCUCUGGAUGCACUCCAACCCGUUCUCAAUACUAUAACCGACUCGUGAUUUAUAUUUGCAUACUGUCGUAAUGUAUCGGCGCUCAUUAUGUUAAGCCAGUAAACAAACCGCCACUCCGAGCCACCUGCUCGAAUUUAAGUUUCAUUUCAUCUAAUCGAAUGAACUGUUUCCUAGUUUCCCCACAAUGCCAUUUGACUGGCCGCUACUCCUGGCGUCAGUGGGAUUUGUGCUGCAUUUGACUUACCUCAGAAGUGGGAGGUCUGAGCUUUGGCGUCAUUUCAACCACUAUAAUCUCCAGCUGUAAAGUUGGGGGGAAAGACUAUGGACGCCUUAUGUGACCAGC